AUUGAACGCUGGCGGCAGGCCUAACACAUGCAAAUCGAACGGUAACAGGAAACAGCUUGCUGUUUCGCUGACGAGUGGCGGACGGGUGAGUAAUGUCUGGGAAACUGCCUGAUGGAGGGGGAUAACUACUGGAAACGGUAGCUAAUACCGCAUAACGUCGCAAGACCAAAGAGGGGGACCCUCGGGCCUCUUGCCAUCGGAUGUGCCCAGAUGGGAUUAGCUUGUUGGUGGGGUAACGGCUCACCAAGGCGACGAUCCCUAGCUGGUCUGAGAGGAUGACCAGCCACACUGGAACUGAGACACGGUCCAGACUCCUACGGGAGGCAGCAGUGGGGAAUAUUGCACAAUGGGCGCAAGCCUGAUGCAGCCAUGCCGCGUGUAUGAAGAAGGCCUUCGGGUUGUAAAGUACUUUCAGCGGGGAGGAAGGGAGUAAAGUUAAUACCUUUGCUCAUUGACGUUACCCGCAGAAGAAGCACCGGCUAACUCCGUG
rnacentral:rRNA from 1 species